AAUGAGCGGCGGACGGGUGAGUAACACGUGGGCAACCUGCCUUGUAGACUGGGAUAACUCCGGGAAACCGGAGCUAAUACCGGAUGAUCAACGGAAUCGCAUGAUUCUGUUGUAAAAGUGGGGAGUAAUCCUCACACUACGAGAUGGGCCCGCGGCGCAUUAGCUAGUUGGUAAGGUAAUGGCUUACCAAGGCAACGAUGCGUAGCCGACCUGAGAGGGUGAUCGGCCACACUGGAACUGAGACACGGUCCAGACUCCUACGGGAGGCAGCAGUAGGGAAUCAUCCGCAAUGGGCGAAAGCCUGACGGUGCAACGCCGCGUGAACGAUGAAGGUUUUCGGAUCGUAAAGUUCUGUUAUGAGGGAAGAACAAGUGCCGUUCAAAUAGGGCGGCACCUUGACGGUACCUCACGAGAAAGCCCCGGCUAACUACGUGCCAGCAGCCGCGGUAAUACGUAGGGGGCAAGCGUUGUCCGGAAUUAUUGGGCGUAAAGCGCGCGCAGGCGGUCUCUUAAGUCUGAUGUGAAAGCCCACGGCUCAACCGUGGAGGGUCAUUGGAAACUGGGAGACUUGAGUGUAGGAGAGGAAAGUGGAAUUCCACGUGUAGCGGUGAAAUGCGUAG
rnacentral:rRNA from 1 species